rnacentral:rRNA from 1 species
UACGGGGGAGCAAGCGUUGUUCGGAUUUACUGGGCGUAAAGGGCGCGUAGGCGGCCACCGCAAGUCGACUGUGAAAUCUCCGGGCUUAACCCGGAAAGGUCAGCCGAUACUGCGGGGCUAGAGUGCAGAAGGGGCAACUGGAAUUCUCGGUGUAGCGGUGGAAUGCGCAGAUAUCAGGAGGAACACCGGUGGCGAAGGCGGGUCUCUGGGCAGUAACUGACGCUGGAGGAGCGAAAGCGUGGGGAGCGAACAGG